GGAUGAACGCUGGCGGCGUGCCUAAUACAUGCAAGUCGGACGGAUGUAGCAAUACAUUAGUGGCGAACGGGUGAGUAACACGUAGGUGACCUGCCCUAAAGAGGGGAAUACCACUUCGAAAGGAGUGACAAAACCGCAUAAACUUAUAGAGAUCAGAAGGCUAUAAGGAAAAGAGCGAUCUACUUUAGGAGGGGCCUGCGGCCCAUCAGCUAGUUGGUAGAGGUAACGGCCUACCAAGGCGAAGACGGGUAGGGGACCUGAGAGGGUGAUCCCCCACAAUGGAACUGAAACACGGUCCAUACACCUGCGGGUGGCAGCAGUAGGGAAUAUUGCUUAAUGGGCGAAAGCCUGAAGCAGCAACACCGCGUGUGCGAUGAAGGCCUUCGGGUCGUAAAGCACUUUUUGGAGGGAAUAGGAAGGAAGGUACCUCCAGAAUAAGUCUCGGCUAACUACGUGCCAGCAGCCGCGGUAACACGUAGGAGGCAAACGUUAUCCGGAUUCACUGGGCGUAAAGCGCGUGUAGGUGGUUCUGUAAGUAGGGCGUGAAAGCUCCCGGCUCAACUGGGAGAGGCCGUACUAAACUGCAGAGCUAGAGGAUGGUAGAGGGAGGUGGAAUUCCAGGUGUAGUGGUGAAAUGCGCAGAUAUCUGGAGGAACACCAGUGGCGAAGGCGGCCUCCUGGACCAUUCCUGACACUCAGACGCGAAAGCUAGGGUAGCAAACGGAAUUAGAGACUCCGGUAGUCCUAGCCCUAAACGAUGCAGACUAGGCGUCGGCGGUUUAAUCACCGUCGGUGUCCAAGCUAACGCGAUAAGUCUGCCGCCUGAGGACUACGGCCGCAAGGCUAAAACUCAAAGGAAUUGACGGGUCCCCGCACAAGCAGCGGAGCGUGUGGUUUAAUUCGAUGCUCCGCGAAAAACCUUACCUGGGUUUGACAUAACAGUGGUAGAGAAGUGAAAACGGACCGACCCCUCGGGGAGCUGUUACAGGUGUUGCAUGGCUGUCGUCAGCUCGUGUCGUGAGAUGUUCGGUUAAGUCCGCUAACGAGCGCAACCCGCGCUGUGUGUUACAAGUGUCACACAGUACCGCCGGUAUUAAGUCGGAGGAAGGUGCGGAUGACGUCAAGUCAGCAUGACCUUUAUAUCCAGGGCUACACACACGCUACAAUGGUCAGAACAAUAGGUUGCCAAGCCGCAAGGCGGAGCCAAUCCUCCAAAUCUGGCCUCAGUUCAGAUUGCAGGCUGCAACUCGCCUGCAUGAAGUCGGAGUUGCUAGUAACCGCAGGUCAGCAUACUGCGGUGAAUACGUUCCCGGGGAU
rnacentral:rRNA from 1 species